GGAGAAAGAGGAGAUUUGAAAAGGGUAGAGGGCAAGCAGGGAAAAACACUAAAAAAAUGUCAGGAAAUGACUGACCCCAGCCAAGACCAACAGCAGAAAAUCUGAGAAUGAAACUGAGACAAACCAUGGAAAACCAAGCAAGCAGCCUGAAGCUUCACAGAACAAAAGCACAGAAAAUAUAACCCAGCACAACUUGGGAGAAACUGGGAGCAAAGAAAUCCAGGGCAUACAAGAGGACCAGGCAAAGAAGGGCAGGGAGGUGCCGUACUCCCCAGGGAAACCAGGGUUCUGCAAACACGUGUGUGACCAUAUGCUGCCAUAAGAUGGAUGCUCACAUCUGGGGGCUGCCAGGGGAAGAAACUGAGGCCCAGAGCAGGGAAGGAAGGCUUUCAGGCUGUACAGGCCAAUAAAGGAUACUGGAAAAAGCAGGCAGAUGAAAAAGUGACUCUUGGAGUGCUCGCAGGAAGAAACCUGUUCAGACAAAUGGCCUGGGGAGUCUGGAUGUGGUUUGGAUUACUUCUUUUGGAUACAGAUGGGAUGACUUUACCAGGGUUGAACCCAGGGCUUUGUGUAUGCAAGGAGAGUUUGCAGCAGAAUAGGAAUGUUUUCUCCCAAAUGCCCAGCAGUUGAAAGACUGCCAGAGAAUUUGAGAGAGAACAACAGAGUUGGCUGUGACAGUGGCAGGAAUGCAAAAACCAUUAACUCCAGCAGGGACUGGCUGGUUUUGGGGGGUGUCUGAUAGGAAACAGAAGACACCUCACCUAUAUUGAACAAGCAACAGGAAGAAAGUGUUGGAAGAGUGAAGAAUGGGGUCAUAGGUCAUAGAAGGGGAGAUUGAUCCAGAGCAAGACUCAGACUCACCAGAGCAAACACCAAAACCUGCAGCUCCAUGUCCGUCAAGUGGGGCUCAUAAAUCAACUUGGCUCUAAAAGGCUUGAUCAGCCCCACUCCUCUAGCUCUGGCACUUGUAGCACUCUCUCUCUCUCUCUCUCUCUCUCUCUCUCUCUCUCUCUCUCUCUUGCUUAUAGAUCUCUUUAGUGUACGUUCCAUGGUCUCAGCAUCUUCAUUUCUUCAUUAUCCUGGGAUCUCCCUUGCAAUCUAGGCUUCACCUUUACAACUUUCAUACAACAGCCUCUCAGGUAGGGCCUCCUUGUAGGGAUUCUGACCCUACUGCACAUCAUGUGGCCUCAGUUGCUCUCUGAAACUGAAUUAAGAGUCCAUGACUGCCUCAAAUGUUGAAUCUUUUAUGUUUCCAAAACCAGUACCAUAUGAAUGACACCGCCAAGUCAUGCUGCCAAUGUGGGAUGGAAUCUGGACUCCUUGGGCCGUAGUUGCAUCAGUCUGCAUCCUGAUACCAGGGAAACGCUCCCCUAGGCAGUUGCUGUUGAGGAGCAGGGAACCCUCUCACCUGCAUUCUCAGUUCAGACCCUCUUUUUCACAUAAAUUUGCAUCUUUGCAAGUUGGAGUCAUUGACAGGUGGGGUCUUACCCUCAAAGAACCUUUCCCAUUGUCCCAGUUCAGAGUGCCAAGGUCCCUUUAAUGGUAUUUAUCUCUUCAAUAAUUACAGAUGUUUUGCUGUUGGGGACUCUCUUUGUUCAAAACUGUAAGCUUUCUUCACACAUUUUCCUUUGACCAAAUGAAUAGUUUUUAAGUUCAAUUGAAUUCUCAGGACAUGGGCAGAAUGAAGUCAGAUUAUUUUUUGUUUUUCCAUUUCCUUGUGUAUGUGGUAUGCAUGUGUAUGUAAGCAUGUUUGCAUAUAUGUUAGCACACAUAUGUGGGUGUGUAUGCAUGUGUGUGCACAUGCCUAGGGAGGCACCAGGUUAAUGUCAGAAAUCAUUCUUGACUGUUCUUCCACCUUAUUCAUUGAGUCGGGAGCUGUCAUUCAGACUCAGGGCUCACCAAUACGGUGAGUCUCACUGAACAGCUUGUUCUGGAGAUCUACUGUACAAGCUUCCAAAUGUGGGAAUUACAAGUGAGCCACCAGGCCCACCCAACAUUUUACAUGUGUUCUGGGGAUCUAAACUCUACUAUUCAUACUUACAUGGCAAACACUUUAACCAGUGAGUCAUUUGCCCAGCCUGGAAACCAGAUUAUUGGUCAAAAUAUCACAGGAAGAACCCCUAGCACAGUUCCUAACAGAGUCCUUGCUCCUGUCUGAAACCUCACGAGCUGGCAUUCUACUGCCCACAUUUCUCUCACAUUCUUGUUUUCUAGGCUCCACAGUAGAAUGGCCCACUUAGCUUUGCUUCUAGCAUCCAUCAAAAGGCUUUUCUCAACCAAAGUUCCAAACUCUUCUGCAUUCCAGCCGUGAAACAGUUUCAGUGGCCUAAUCACACAGGUUUAUCACAGCAAUGCCUCACUUUUCUGUACUAUUUUCUGUCUUAUUAUUUUCUUGUUGCUCUGAUAAAAUACCCUGACAAAAGCAACUUAAGGAAGAAAGGGUUUAUUUUGAAUUUAGUUCCAGAAAGAGUUCAUCAUGGUGGAGGAGACAUGCUGCAGGCAAGGAAGGCUUGGUGGCAGGAUCAGGAGACCGGUUGGUCACAUUGCAUCCUCACUCAGGUAGCUGAGAAAGAACAGGGAGUAGUGUUAGACUAUAAAGCCACAAGCCCUGACUCUAGUGAUCACUCCAGAGGAUCCACUCCAUGUAAAGGCUUUACAACCUUCCUGAACAGCAUUACCAGCAGGCAACAAAAUAUUCAGACACAUGAACAUGUGGAGAAUAUUUCUUAUUCAAACCCUAACAGUUUCCUACAAGGAAGGCUGGCCUUUCAGAAAAGUAGCUCAGGAGGUGAAGCAGAUUUAUUGAAUACUUGAAUGGCCCAGACAUCUACCUUUUAAGUCUUUUUAGUUCCUUUAAGAUCCUAUGAGGUAGAUACUAUCAUCCUCCAAGUCUCAGGAAACAUAGCUAUUAAUUCUGACUGGGUUCUGAUGACAAGAAUGUUAAUGUUAAGGAAUGGGCUCUUUCUAUCAUAUCAUUUGGUCUCAAAUUAUGGCAUUGUUAAAGAAAAGAAAAACACUGGAUGAUAUAUUCCAAGAGGCAAAGAGAAGAGAGAAAGGGGUGGUAGGUGAAUGUUGGGCUUCUUUUCUUGGGGGACUAUGAUGUGGAAUCUGUGAGCUUCAGGCUUUCUGAAAAUACAUUGAACAUCUACAUAUGGCUAGAAAAAAUGAUUCUCUCUCUUCUUUGUCUUUAGAACAGUAUGUAGCUUCCAGCAUCUCUUCUAUUCCUGCAUUAUUACUUCUUUCCUCCUCUAAGCUUAUUUGAAAUGGCUUCUAUCCCAUGGCCUCCAUCCUCAACUCAAGACAGAGGAGCCAAUGCAAGAAUCAAACUGGUUUAGGCUUCAGUUCAAUGCCACUUCCUUGCUAUGUGAACUCUGGCAAGUUAUUCUAUUGCUUAAUAUCUGGGGAUUGUAUUAUGUCAUGGAAUAUGGACAUUGUUAUGGUAUGUUACAUUAUAUUGUGUUAUGGUAUGAUUGUGGUAUUAUUAUGAAAGUUGAUAAGCCAAUGCCUGUCAGAUUACUAACAGAUUUCCCAGCAUAUUGCAAACACCAAUACAUUACAUAUACUGUCCAUGUGACCUUACACAACCCGGAGGCUUUUGUCCUGCAGGUCUCUUCUUUUUGAAAUGUUAUUUAUGGUUCAUAUUUUUCUUCCCCCAAAAUGCUUUUCCAGAGAAAUAAAGUCCA